rnacentral:rRNA from 1 species
GACAGAGGUGCCAAGCGUUAGGCGGAAUCACUGGGCUUAAAGCGUGUGUAGGCGGAUCGUUAAGUACCUUGUGAAAUCCCACGGCUCAACCGUGGAACUGCUCGGUAUACUGGCGGUCUUGAGCCACCUAGGGGCAACUGGAACAAGCGGUGGAGCGGUGAAAUGCGUAGAUAUCGGAAGGAACAUCAGUGGCGAAAGCGACUUCCUGGACCAGUACCGACGUUCAGGCACGAAAGCGUGGGGAGCAAACAGG